rnacentral:tRNA from 1 species
GGUGGCUCAGGGGUGGAGCGCUUGCCUUGUAUGCAUGAAGCCCUGGGUUCGAUUCCUCAGUACCA